rnacentral:misc_RNA from 1 species
CAACCCUCAAGCUCCCCCAGCCAGGAGGAGCCUGGUGUUGGGGACCGGCCGCAACGCCCUCGCGCCGCCUGGCGCGGUGGCACGCCGCCCCCGAAAUGAAUUGGCGGCCUCGUCGCGGCCUUCCCUUGCGCAGUAGCAUGACCACCUCGCAACCGGGAGCGCGGCGCGGCCACGGCCGUAAAACGCCCAACUUCUCAAG